rnacentral:rRNA from 1 species
UACGUAGGGUGCGAGCGUUAAUCGGAAUUACUGGGCGUAAAGCGUGCGCAGGCGGUUCGUUGUGUCGGCGGGGAAAGCCCCGGGCUUAACCUGGGAAUGGCCGGUGAAACUGGCGAACUGGAGUGUGGCAGAGGGGGGUGGAAUUCCGCGUGUAGCAGUGAAAUGCGUAGAGAUGCGGAGGAACACCGAUGGCGAAGGCAGCCCCCUGGGCUGACACUGACGCUCAGGCACGAAAGCGUGGGGAGCAAACAGG